rnacentral:rRNA from 1 species
UACGGGGGGGGGCAAGCGUUGUUCGGAAUUACUGGGCGUAAAGGGCUCGUAGGCGGCCAACUAAGUCAGACGUGAAAUCCCUCGGCUUAACCGGGGAACUGCGUCUGAUACUGGAUGGCUUGAGGUUGGGAGAGGGAUGCGGAAUUCCAGGUGUAGCGGUGAAAUGCGCAGAUAUCAGGAGGAACACCCGUGGCGAAAGCGGCUCUCUGGGACGGUACUGACGCUGAGACGCGAAAGCGUGGGGAGCAAACAGG